rnacentral:lncRNA from 1 species
CAUUGCUGAAAAAUUUAUCACUGUGUGGCCCAUGUAGUGAUGAAUCUCUCUGUUCUUUGGACAACCAACAUAUAGUUUGUCACCAGGCCUUUCCAUAUUGAUAGCACUUGUAAAAUCUUAUAUCUCUUUGGUACAAACUUCUAGAGCCUAGGUUUGUUGCUCUAUCAUGUUGAGGCACCUGAGUUGAAGUAUUGAAAAAGUAUAAAAUAUGAUAUAAUAAUGUUAUUAUGAUUAUACAUGCAACUCAAGGAUUUUAAUUCAUAGCAUGUGAAUUGUUUUUUUUUUCUUUCCAGCACUGCAUAGAGUCCCUGUUGGAGGAUUAUUUUGGGUUUAUUGGACUAAUGUCCAUGCUGUGGAUCUCUUCUUUCUGAGAAAGGAAAAAGCUGAGCUGAGUAAUAUCAUUGCAGCAGAGCAGCAAGUAGAAAACCUCUUGAUAUCCUACAACAUUUUGGAGCAGCCUCUUUAUUUAUAAAGAAUAGCAGACUUUGGAGAGUCACUGAAAAGGUUGUAAUCACCAAGCACAAGCAGCUGUGGAGGCCUGCCCCACUCUGAGGAACAGCAACUGCUCUCUGUCAGCACUCAAGGCCAAGGACACACCUCAGCCAUGUCCAGGGAGCAGGCUGCUCUGAGGGAUCUCAAGAUGCAUUUACCAAUCUCCUAGUUCAAAGACAGACUGUUCCAGAU